rnacentral:rRNA from 1 species
AAUAGAUACCCCGGGGUAGUCCACGCCGUAAACGAUGAGUGCUAAGUGUUAGAGGGGUUUCCGCCCUUUAGUGCUGCAGCUAACGCAUUAAGCACUCCGCCUGGGGAGUACGGCCGCAAGGCUGAAACUCAAAGGAAUUGACGGGGGGCCCGCACAAGCGGUGGAGCAUGUGGUUUAAUUCGAAGCAACGCGAAGAACCUUACCAGGUCUUGACAUCCUCUGACCUCCCUGGAGACAGGGCCUUCCCCUUCGGGGGACAGAGUGACAGGUGGUGCAUGGUUGUCGUCAGCUCGUGUCGUGAGAUGUUGGGUUAAGUCCCGCAACGAGCGCAACCCUUGACCUUAGUUGCCAGCAUUCAGUUGGGCACUCUAAGGUGACUGCCGGUGACAAACCGGAGGAAGGUGGGGAUGACGUCAAAUCAUCAUGCCCCUUAUGACCUGGGCUACACACGUGCUACAAUGGAUGGUACAAAGGGCUGCGAGACCGCGAGGUUAAGCCAAUCCCAGAAAACCAUUCCCAGUUCGGAUUGCAGGCUGCAACCCG